rnacentral:rRNA from 1 species
UACGUAGGUGGCAAGCGUUGUCCGGAUUUACUGGGCGUAAAGAGCGCGCAGGCGGUCGUUCAAGUCGCGUGUGAAAGCCCCCGGCUCAACUGGGGAGGGUCACGCGAUACUGAUCGACUCGAAGGCAGGAGAGGGUAGUGGAAUUCCCGGUGUAGUGGUGAAAUGCGUAGAUAUCGUGAAGAAGGCCUGUGGCGAAAGCAAGAUUCUGGGUGACGACGUGACGCUGAGGCACGAA